rnacentral:tRNA from 1 species
GGCUCCAUAGUUCACGGGUCACAGUACUAGUCUUGUAAACCAGGGGUUGCGAGUUCGGAUCUCACUGGAACCU